ensembl:snoRNA
AGGAGGAUUGAGAAAGUUUGACAGUAAGAUUGGUGCUGCUACAACUGGUUAUUUCCUCCAAGACUAAUGACUUAACACUGCAAUAGUACCUGUGUUUUAUAUUCAGAGUAUGUGGUGUUUUGUCUACAUUUC